AUACGGAGGAUGCAAGCGUUAUCCGGAUUUAUUGGGUUUAAAGGGUGCGUAGGCGGUUUGCUAAGCGGGAGGUGAAAUGCCGGCGCUCAACGUCGGAAGUGCCUCCCGAACUGGUGGACUUGAAUGACUCUGCCGUGGGAGGAAUGUGUAGUGUAGCGGUGAAAUGCUUAGAGAUUACACAGAACACCGAUUGCGAAGGCAUCUCACGAAGGGUUGAUUGACGCUGAGGCACGAAAGCGUGGGGAUCAAACAGGAUUAGAUACCCUGGUAGUCCACGCAGUAAACGAUGAUUACUCGCUGUUUGCGAUACAAUGUAAGCGGCUAAGCGAAAGCAUUAAGUAAUCCACCUGGGGAGUACGUUCGCAAGAAUGAAACUUAAAGGAAUUGACGGGG
rnacentral:rRNA from 1 species